rnacentral:tRNA from 1 species
GGGCAUGUAGCUCAGUUGGUAGAGCGCGUCAUUAGCAAGCCCUCAUGAGUUCUCAACUCGAGUGGAUCAGCGUACUUGACGAGGUCUUUGGUUCGAUUCCUAACCUGUCCA